rnacentral:rRNA from 1 species
UGCUAAUACAUGCAAGUCGAGCGAAUGGAUUAAGAGCUUGCUCUUAUGAAGUUAGCGGCGGACGGGUGAGUAACACGUGGGUAACCUGCCCAUAAGACUGGGAUAACUCCGGGAAACCGGGGCUAAUACCGGAUAACAUUUUGAACCGCAUGGUUCGAAAUUGAAAGGCGGCUUCGGCUGUCACUUAUGGAUGGACCCGCGUCGCAUUAGCUAGUUGGUGAGGUAACGGCUCACCAAGGCAACGAUGCGUAGCCGACCUGAGAGGGUGAUCGGCCACACUGGGACUGAGACACGGCCCAGACUCCUACGGGAGGCAGCAGUAGGGAAUCUUCCGCAAUGGACGAAAGUCUGACGGAGCAACGCCGCGUGAGUGAUGAAGGCUUUCGGGUCGUAAAACUCUGUUGUUAGGGAAGAACAAGUGCUAGUUGAAUAAGCUGGCACCUUGACGGUACCUAACCAGAAAGCCACGGCUAACUACGUGCCAGCAGCCGCGGUAAUACGUAGGUGGCAAGCGUUAUCCGGAAUUAUUGGGCGUAAAGCGCGCGCAGGUGGUUUCUUAAGUCUGAUGUGAAAGCCCACGGGCUCAACCGUGGAGGGUCAUUGGAAACUGGGAGACUUGACUGCAGAAGAGGAAAG